AAGUAUGGGAAUGCCGUCACUGGAGCAACACUAAGCUCAACGGUCACCGUGCGGAGAGCGCUGCCAGCCGUUGAGGAGACUGAGAAAGGAGAGGGCGAGUUGGUCCCCGAGUUGGUCCCUACACUCCGCGAGUCCCCUUGCGCCCCUCCCAACAAUGGGUAGGAGCCAGCAUUUGGGGGAACUUCGCACCCUGACAAAGUGAAGGGGAAUGUUUCCAUUCCCACCCUGUAGCUAACUAGGAAUGUGCGCUCCAUUUCCUGGCCUCCCAGGCAUCCUGGCUCUUCUCAGCGCCAGGAUGACACCAGACCAGGUGUGAGUGGCUGAACAGAGAUGCCUCCUCAUCUUUUCAAGAGGCCCCUGGCCAGGCUGGCAGCAUUGGAGUACAGAUACAAUAGGAGUGGGAUGGACACGGGUGAAUAUAAUGUAUUGCCAUGUGCUGUAGAUGCCCCACCCAGACUCCCAUUCUUGGGCUCUGGCACCUCCCUCCAGCUGCUGUGACUGUAGACUGCUUACAGCUCACCAUUGCCCCUAAUGAGAAUUGCCCUCUGCUGACAAAAGCUCUUAACCUACACCCUUCUAUCCCCACAUCCACAAUGUUUGACUGACAUAUCAGACAUAAUUCAAGGCUACCCCUUGCCUCCACAGGGACAACUCUGCAGAGCCCUUUUUGCUCCAAACCCCUUUCUGCUCACAGUCAGGCCAAGGCUCAGCUGGACCUAUGAGUACAACUCUUGUCCAGCUCCUCCCUCUUUUUUGACCUCCCUCACCCCUGAGACCUCUUCAGACCCUUCUCCAAUAAAGCUCGUACAUCGUACUCUCUGUCCAGCUCUACUUCUAGGGACCUGUUCCCACCUUGCUUCCCCACUCCCCUACUGGUGUUGUCCCAAAGCAUCUUCCAGAUAAAUGACUUAUCCUGGAGUGCUUGACUCAGAGCCCACCUCUAGGAAAACCCAAACUCAUACAUUGUAUUUCUCAGGCUUCCUUGGGCACUUUCCUCUCUCCCCCAUGUGAGAUCCCAUGAUUCAGUCAUCAUCUUCUUGCCCCAAACUCCCAAAUCUGUCUCUAGCCUGGGUACAUGAUCCUUCCUACCCAUCUAGGGCCUCCUGCACCUCUGUUCCAGUCUCACAGAAGCACCAAAGCAUAGCCCACCAGUGCUGAAUGCAACAUCUGCACCCUCCAGUCUUCAUCUUCCCAAGACUUCUUCACCUCCCUCCCAGGGGCCCAAACAGCGCCCUGCCCACCAGGUCUACCUCCAGUCGCCAAAAAUAACAUGAGUAACAA